rnacentral:rRNA from 1 species
UACGUAGGGGGCAAGCGUUGUCCGGAAUCAUUGGGCGUAAAGAGCGUGUAGGCGGCUUGGUAAGUCCGCUGUGAAAGUCCAGGGCUCAACCCUGGAAUGCCGGUGGAAACUGUCGAGCUAGAAUCCGGAAGAGGCGAGUGGAAUUCCUGGUGUAGCGGUGAAAUGCGCAGAUAUCAGGAGGAACACCAAUGGCGAAGGCAGCUCGCUGGGACGGUAUUGACGCUGAGACGCGAAAGCGUGGGGAGCAAACAGG